AACGAACGCUGGCGGCAUGCCUAACACAUGCAAGUCGAACGAGACCUUCGGGUCUAGUGGCGCACGGGUGCGUAACACGUGGGAAUCUGCCCUUUGCUUCGGAAUAACAGUUAGAAAUGACUGCUAAUACCGGAUGAUGUCGAAAGACCAAAGAUUUAUCGGCAAAGGAUGAGCCCGCGUAGGAUUAGGUAGUUGGUGGGGUAAAGGCCUACCAAGCCGACGAUCCUUAGCUGGUCUGAGAGGAUGAUCAGCCACACUGGGACUGAGACACGGCCCAUACUCCUACGGGAGGCACCAGUAUGGAAUAUUGGACAAUGGGCGAAAGCCUGAUCCAGCAAUGCCGCGUGAGUGAUGAAGGCCUUAGGUUGUAAAGCUCUUUUACCAGGGAUGAUAAUGACAGUACCUGGAGAAUAAGCUCCGGCUAACUCCGUG
rnacentral:rRNA from 1 species